rnacentral:rRNA from 1 species
AUUGAACGCUGGCGGCAGGCCUAACACAUGCAAGUCGAGCGAGCGGCGGAAGGGUGAGUAAGGACGGGGAAACUGCCUGAUGGAGGGGGAUAACUACUGGAAACGGUAGCUAAGACCGCAUACCAUCAGAUGUGCCCAGAUGGGAUUAGCAAGUGGGUGGGGUAACGGCUCACCAAGGCGACGAUCCCUAGCUGGUCUGAGAGGGUGACCAGCCACACUGGAACUGAGACACGGUCCAGACUCCUACGGGAUGCAGCAGUAGGGAAUAUUGCGCAAUGGGCGCAAGCCUGAUGCAGCCAUGCCGCGUGUGUGAAGAAGGUCUUCGGGUUGUAAAGCACUUUCAGCGGGGAGGCGUUACCCGCACAGGAAGCCCCGGCUAACUCCGUGCCAGCAGCCGCGGUAAUUC